rnacentral:lncRNA from 1 species
GCCAAAUACAGCUUAGGUAAUCUAUGCCUGAGGUAGAAAAGCCUUAGUAUUUAAAAAAAAUCAAAAUUUUGAAAACAGUUAAUUUAUAAAUAUAACCAUAUCAAUGACAAUGCAUGUUAGCACAAACAGUCCUGACUACUGGGCUUGUGAUACCCUCGGGGAAAUUAAUCUCCACUAGCAGUGGCAUCGACUCAGUGGUUGUAAAUAAACUCAUCAUAGAUACCAGGACUAAAAUUUGUAUAUACGCCAGACGCGCGUUUUGUCUUCAAAAGACUCAUCAGUGACGCUCGAACCCAAAAAAAGUACAAAUAGCUAUGUUAAAUCGACAAC